rnacentral:rRNA from 1 species
UACGGAGGGUGCAAGCGUUAUCCGGAUUCACUGGGUUUAAAGGGUGCGUAGGUGGAAUGGUAAGUCAGUGGUGAAAUCUCCAAGCUUAACUUGGAAACUGCCGUUGAUACUAUCAUUCUUGAAUAUCGUGGAGGUAAGCGGAAUAUGUCAUGUAGCGGUGAAAUGCUUGGAUAUGACAUAGAACACCGAUUGCGAAGGCAGCUUGCUACACGAUCAUUGACACUGAGGCACGAAAGCGUGGGGAUCAAACAGG